GCCGCAGGCCGCCUUAUCGCUAACGAUGCAAAUCGGGAGAGGAAAGUCCGGACACCAUAGGGAAGCAUAGCGGGUAACGCCCGUCGGUCUCGACAUUAAAAUCGGGGCAAGGACAAGUGCAACAGAAAGUAUGUACAGGUUAAGCUGUAGUGAAACCAGGUAAACUCUAUGUGGUGAAAUUUCAAGUAUAUCGGCAUUUAAGGGCUUCCCGUCCGUUGCCGAAGGGUAGAAAGAUAGAUCUCGCUGGUAACAACGAGACCAGAUAAAUGAUAAGGAUCUUGUCUUUCCCGCAAGGGGAUCAGGAUACAGAAUCCGGCUUACAGGCCUGCUUUUUUU
rnacentral:RNase_P_RNA from 1 species